CAUAGAGAUUCUUACCAAGAGAAAAAGUAUGACCCAUUUCUGCAUGGUAACGUUCUAUGAAAAAAUCUAUCUUUGGCUCAGCAAUAGGAAUUUCCCACUUCAUACCAAAAAAUGAAACUCGACACAAUUUUGCACCUAAGAGAAGAAGUGCCUGUGACAUAGCAGAAAUGGGAAUAUUGACCUGGUUUCUACUUAAAGUCAAACUGUUAGAAUUAAUUGUUAAUGCUAAACCAAAAUCAGUUUGUAAGACUUUUAAAAGUUGAUUUUUAAAGUUUUCUC
rnacentral:lncRNA from 1 species